UCAGGCUGUUUGCUCUUUAAGGCCUGUUUUCUUUCCAGUAAAAACAUUCCUACCCAGGGGCAAGCAAUGCAUGCUGAGGGGCCAGGAGUUUAGCACAAUCACUGCGGAUACAGAGCAUCCUGAAUCCUGGAUGCUCGCUGCUGCUAAACCUCAGCCAUGGAGACCCAACAUGGGAUAACAGGAGUUCUCAAGGCCUCCCAUGCCUUCCCACUGCCAGGUUGCAUGUGUGGUUUGAUUGGGAGUGUGACCUAUGACCUCUGGUGUCCAUCUCUGGACCUUGGGCUUUCCGUCCUCGCCAGGCCUAACAAUGAUGGUGCUUCUGGAUGCCAGUGAAGGGUCUUCGUUGAAGAAGUUGAAGGGUCGGAGGAAGAAGCCCACUGCGUUGCCGGGUGUUGCCGUGUUGGGGAUGUCUUCUGAGUGAGGCACAUGCAGGAAGCCGACUGUCACCCAGGCUACCAAGUCCUGCACACAGGAGAGCAAACAUUACAUUAGAAUUUAGGACGCAUAA